GACGAAUGCUGGCGGCGUGCCUAAUACAUGCAAGUCGAGCGGACGAAUCGAAAGCUUGCUUUUGAUUCGUUAGCGGCGGACGGGUGAGUAACACGUGGGCAACCUGCCCUGUAGACGGGGAUAACACCGAGAAAUCGGUGCUAAUACCGGAUAACACGAAAUGUCGCAUGACGUUUCGUUGAAAGACGGCGCAAGCUGCCGCUACAGGAUGGGCCCGCGGCGCAUUAGCUAGUUGGUGAGGUAACGGCUCACCAAGGCGACGAUACGUAGCCGACCUGAGAGGGUGAUCGGCCACACUGGGACUGAGACACGGCCCAGACUCCUACGGGAGGCAGCAGUAGGGAAUCUUCCGCAAUGGACGAAGGUCUGACGGAGCAACGCCGCGUGAGCGAAGAAGGCCUUCGGGUCGUAAAGCUCUGUUGUUAGGGAAGAACAAGUAACGCAGUAACUGGCGUUACCGUGACGGUACCUAACGAGAAAGCCACGGCUAACUACGUG
rnacentral:rRNA from 1 species